UACGGGGGGAGCAAGCGUUGUUCGGAUUUACUGGGCGUAAAGGGCGCGUAGGCGGCGCAACAAGUCACUUGUGAAAUCUCCGGGCUUAACCCGGAGCGGUCAAGUGAUACUGUCGUGCUAGAGUGCGGAAGGGGCUACUGGAAUUCUCGGUGUAGCGGUGAAAUGCGCAGAUAUCAGGAGGAACACCGGUGGCGAAGGCGGAUCUCUGGGCCUUACCUGACGCUGGAGGCGCGAAAGCUAGGGGAGCGAACAGG
rnacentral:rRNA from 1 species